GCCCUCCUCCCGGGCGCCCCUCCCCGCGGCCGCAGCCUGUUUCCCGGGCCUCUCCUCCGCAUUCUCACAUCGCUCCAGCUCGACCUCCCCACCCGCCCGCCUCCCCGGGAGGCCGCGGCCCGGCGCGGCACCGCCCCUGCCCACGGUUACCCGGUUACCGCCUGAGAGGCCGGCGCCUGCCCGGGCGGGCGGGACCCGCACUGACCCCGCAGGGGGCGAGGCGGGGCUGAGAGGGGCGAACGCAGAGCCAGACCCCCCGCCGCCGCCGGCCGCCCACCUCCAGGCAGGGCUUCGUGCCAGACCCGGCUGCAGUUAUCAGCUGGGUGGAGGGCAGUGCCAGCUGCAGGCGUCCCCGAGGCGCAAACACCACCCCUGGCCCCAGCCUCCUUCCCUGCAGCCUUCUACCUUCUACCGGAAACAGAGCCACGGGGAGCUAAAGGAGGAUCCAGCAACAGAAUGGAGGCAGGGACUCCACCUCCGAGGCAGGGCCGCACUGAAGCCCAGCUCACCUACCUGCUGGGUGACCUUGGGCAAGUGACUUCUCUAUGCCUCAGUUGUUGCAUCUGUAAAAUUGAGAUAGUAGUAGUAUUCACCUCACUGAGUGCUGCGGUUUGGUGCCUGGCACAUAAUAGGGACUUCAUAGACAGUUGUUACUAUUAUUACCUCUUCCCCCACAUUUGGGGUUUGGCAGAGGGACGUAUUGGCUACAUGGUCAUUAAGGAUCUGUUAAGCACCUCCUAUGCGCGAGGGAGAUCACAUGGUAUGGUCCAAGAGUCUUGGAGUUAGAUGUGGGGUUGAAUCCUGGCCCUGUCACUUCAUAGCUGUGUGUGACCUUGUAAAAUUCUGUCUCCUCUCUGAGCUGAAGUUCCCCCACAGGAAAAUAGGGACCGUAAUGCCCAUCUUCCGGGGCCAAUGCUGGAUUCAAUGAGAUAAUGUACAGGGAGUGCCCAGGGCAGUUCUCAGCACACAAUAGUGCCUCUCAGUAAAUAAGAGAUGCAGGAUGGAGAGGACAGGCUCGGUUUCUGCUACAGAAGAGCUCUGGGCAGAGCAGCUCAGAACACUCAUCACAUCUUUCUCCUUGACCCUCACCUCUCUGGAAGAUUAGAAGCAGAAGAUUUAUUGGAUCAACUUCUCAGCUGUGGAAUCUGAGCAAACAGAAGGGAAGUGGCUGAGGGAGGCCUCAGACCAGCUGUAUCCCUGGACCAGAGGUCACAGCCCUGGCUAAGGAAACCUUCCAUGCAGGAGUGCUGUGAGCUGAGCAGUGCAUAAGAAAAGAGUGUUUGUGGGAAUCAGCAUUUUACCACCUGGCAGACCUGCCUGGGCUGUAGCAGAGCCUCCCCACUCAGUGGACAAGGGACAGGAAGGAUCAAAGGUUGAGGAAAGAUAUUAUUUCAAUCAAGAUAAUGAUUCUAUUUCUUGAACGGAAAUGAGAUUUUUUUUCAUUGCCUCAUGGGGGUGCCACCAACAUCUGUCUCCAGGCUGGAACAGGUCAUGAACAAGUUAGAGGAUUUUCUUGUAACCUGAGAGAGAGUGUAAACAUGAAGGAGAACUGAAAGAAGGGAGCUUGCUUGCAAGAGAAAAACAUAUCUGCCAGGCCUCCACGAUUAUAAAAUAAGCUCAAUUUGGAAAAUGUAUACUGGCAAUGAACAGAGCAUUCAAGACCAAACUUCAGAAGGUAAGUGUCCGGUGUGAGCCCCACAGCCUGGAAUUCAAGUGAGGUAAAUGGCCUAGAAAUGCCAUGAUGAUACCAAAGAUGCACAGAGGAGACUCAGCUAUGACAGGACCUUAGACGUCUUCUAAGCCUGUUGUCAGGCAGUGUGGAUCAGCUGUGUAACUGUGCUGACAGAUGACCUAGCUCCUGUUUCAGCCCCUUCUACCAGAGGGGGCUCGCCACCAAAAGAACCCAUUCCAUCUUGGACCAGAUCCUGUGUUGAGGAAGUACCUCCAAAUUAUAGUCAAGUCACUUCAUAAAAGGAAACCACAGUGAAAACUCACACGGUGCUGACAAUGCAGGAAAUCUAAAUGCACUUUGGAAACAGAAUACACAAUAUGCAAAUGACAUCAGACAAUAAAUGCAGGGAGACCUCAAUAAUUUGCACUAAAUAGUGAAGUUAGUGAAAUUUUAAAUUAUUUUAAAUAUUUGGGAAUUCCAGGGGCUGUCAUGCGGUAUCUCAAAUAAUUUGCUUUAAAUAAUAAUUUAAAUUUUAUGUAUAAUUUGCUUUAAAUAAUAAUUAUUAUUUGCAAUGAGAAAUAAAAAGUUUAUUAUUUGCAAUUAGAAGUAAAAAUAAUUUUCAAUUCCUAUAUCAAUUGUUUAUAUAGUAACUCUAAAGAGUUCGAAAACGUUUGUAAAGUUCUUAUGCAUUUUAAACAUUCCACUGAGAGCUGAAUCAGGCUAUUAAUUGCUCCCUCUCCAAAGAAAAGGCCUAUUUCAGCUCAAUCCCUUCUGGAAUAACCCCAACUGCUGACUCUAAAGACCCAAGAAGGUGGCACCUUUCUAUACUGCAUCAGAUUCACCAAAAUUUUGGAAUCUAAACCACAAUCUUGUUGGUUGUAGACUAUCAUUGGAAAGUAACACAAAACUCUGGCAAUAUUGGUUGUCUCUAGGACAGGAGCCUGCUUGAGGCCAGAGGUAGAGGGGAGACUUUUUACAAUAUACCUUCUGGUACUUUUGAAUUUAGAGCCUUGAGACGAUACUGUCUGUUAAGAAUAAAAUUCCAGUUAAAAAAGCACAUGUUAUUUUCAGUUAAAAAAACAGACUUCGGGAUUGAUUUCUAUUUUAAUACCUAUACUCCCAAAAUACAAUCUUACUGCAAUGAAAAUUACUGCCAGGUCAGUGAAAAUGACAUUUGGCUGUCUUGACAAGAGUGGUGCUCACACGCAUGAGAAUAAAGGCAAUUGAUGCCCUGCCCAGGUCUCUGUACCUACUCCCCAGCUGCUGAGUGUGGUACACAGCUUUCACUCAUGACAUUCUCGGGUCCUUGCUCUUGGUUGAGGUGAUGCCUUGGAAGAUGCACCACCAGCAACACUCUGGGGGCAGCUGCUGACAAAUAAGGGGACACACAAGCCCUGCCCCCUGCCUCCAAGUCAGAUAUCACUGCAGUGCAGUUGAUGUGGACCAGACCCAGGGAGACCUGCCCUGAGACCACAUUCCCACUCAGCUCUUGCUUCUUUACCCUGCUUCCCUCUCUCCUUGACAAGUGUUUCCUAAGAGCUCUCCCUGGAUACAUCACAUCCCACUGAAAACUGACUCAGGCUCUGCUUCUAGGAAGCCCAACCUAAGUCAGUCACCAGUGGCUCAAAAUGAAGCCCUCCAGCAUCUUUUCAGAGGGUUGUCCCAGGAGUUGGAAGCACACGUGAGCCUUCCUCCUUGAAGGCAGCACCAUAACCACCUUCCCGCCUUGCCGAAGACCACCAGUCUGACAUAAUACAGCCCACGAAAGCCAGCAACAGCAAAACAUGGACAUCCAGAACAGACAGAGUUCUGACAACUGGACCCCGUGGCGCAGCACAAUGAUGACUCUUCUUCCCCAGGAUGAAUAAGCAGGAGGCAAGGGCUGAGCCAAAAGGACCUGUUGCAUAAUCUGAGCAAUGUCCAGUUAUGUGCAGCGGAAAGUCAGUGUGGACGUCUUAGGCAGCUCUACCACUUACUAGCAGAGCAAACUAGAGCAAAUAUUGAAUGAUUCUGAGCCUCAGUUUCUUCAUCUGCAAAAUGGGAAUACUGGACAGAGCCUUUGUAAAGCACCUAUGAGGCAGUACCAUCAAGAGUGCUGCGAAUUGUUCAUCCAAUGUGAAUACUGGCUGUUGUUAUGGAGAUUUAUAACUAGCUACCUUCUCCUGCUUGCUUGGGACAAAUAUUAAUUAAUCAUCAUUAAAUAAAUAUAUCCCAGCUGCCCCUCAUCCUGAGCACAGUACCUAGAGCUCCCUGUGUGAGAAGUGGCUCUGGGGGAAAGGCAAGUGGACAAUUGGGAGUCCUGUAUUGGUGACUGUCCGCCAGGAGCUCAAGAUGUGGCCCCAUUACUGGCCUCACAGGGCUCUGGUGGCCCUUGGCUGCAGCUGUGUGGAGAAUUUUCUCUCUCUCUCUCUCUGUGUCUUUCUCAUUCCCUCUCUCUCUCUGAGACAAAGGGAAUAUCUCCAAUGCAGAUUUCCUGUAAUCUACUCAGUGUAUAGACUGAUCUCAAAUACAACCUCAAGUUUGUGAAAAAUUCAUGCAGCCAUUUUCAUAUCGUGGAGUGGCCGACAAACAGGCAGAAACUAAAUUUUAUUUACAUAGGUGAAGAAUCCUUUAUUCCAUCCUGAUUCUUUGCAUCUGGACCAUUCCUGAAGCCAUGCCAAGCCCUCCAGCACCUGGCCCUGUCCAACUUCACCAGCAUCUUCUCCCCUCCCACCCUCAGACCCAUGCCUACACCAUCCUCCACAUAGGCAUCCACCCCUGUUCCUUCCUUCCUGGAAUGGCCUCCCUCCUCCAUCAGUCCAGUUCAAGCCUCUCCUUCUCCAGGAAGUCUUCCCUAACCAUUUCCCAUCCCCAGCAUUUCUGCCCGGGCCAUGCCAGCCAGAGCUGGUGCACACACCUGGUCAUAAAGUUCUUUGUCUCAUAUGCAGGUGUCUUCUCUUCCUGCACUGGACUGAAAGCUCCUCCAAAACAGAGCCAAUGCCUGCUGCUUCUCGUGGAUUUCCCAGAGCUUCCAGGUGCUGCCUGGCACCUGGUGAUUAAUGACAUUCUCAGAUUGAUUAAUGGAUUGGUUCCUGUGACUGCACUUAGUUUAACACACUGUUAAAUGGCCUCUAUGAGAAUUUACUGUUCUGAAUAGGGGGUCAACCUAGCAGCAAACUUGGAACUGUACAAACUGUUUGUGGCCCCAAGUAAAAAAAAAA